GUAGGCUAUGGUCCUAAUCCAGGUUCAGUGCUCUCUUCUCCACAGACUACAGAAAGCAGCAUGUCCUCAGUCCAAUAGUGGAUCAUUAAUGACUUAACGCACUUCCAAAUGACUGUGGGCAGCUGCUUGGGAGGUGCGUGUUGCCCAGAGGAGGAGGGAGAGAGACGGAUGUAGAGCUGGCCCUGUCUGCGGCGCCCAGGCACCUGUGUGGAGACAGGAGCAGUUGUUGGCAUCUGCUGAGAGACAAAAGUCCAGAAAUAGGAGCAACUCUGAAACCACCUCUCUCACUGA